UAUCAUCAUUCCCACAGACGUGAUGAAAGCAUUUCAUCUGCUCAUUUCAUCCAGGGUGGAAACCAAUUAUUGAGCAACUCCCCCAAUAUCUAAGGCCGAACAUGGACUGGAGAUGCAAACUAUGUUCUACGUCCCUGGAUACCUCGGCAAAGUUAUUUACACAUUAUCGUUUGCAACAUAGUCAGUAUUCAAGAGUCAGCCCACUGCCGUGCCUCUACAGCAAUU